AACGAACGCUGGCGGCAUGCCUAACACAUGCAAGUCGAACGAGACCUUCGGGUCUAGUGGCGCACGGGUGCGUAACGCGUGGGAAUCUGCCCUUGGGUUCGGAAUAACAGUUAGAAAUGACUGCUAAUACCGGAUAAUGUCUUCGGACCAAAGAUUUAUCGCCCAGGGAUGAGCCCGCGUAGGAUUAGCUAGUUGGUGAGGUAAAGGCUCACCAAGGCGACGAUCCUUAGCUGGUCUGAGAGGAUGAUCAGCCACACUGGGACUGAGACACGGCCCAGACUCCUACGGGAGGCAGCAGUGGGGAAUAUUGGACAAUGGGCGAAAGCCUGAUCCAGCAAUGCCGCGUGAGUGAUGAAGGCCUUAGGGUUGUAAAGCUCUUUUACCCGGGAUGGAUAAAUGACAGUACCGGGAGAAUAAGCCCCGG
rnacentral:rRNA from 1 species